rnacentral:rRNA from 1 species
UGCGUAGGGGGCAAGCGUUGUCCGGAUUUAUUGGGCGUAAAGAGCGUGUAGGCGGCCUGGUAGGUCAGCUGUGAAAACUCGAGGCUCAACCUCGAGACGCCGGUUGAAACCAUCAGGCUAGAGUCCGGAAGAGGAGAGUGGAAUUCCCGGUGUAGCGGUGAAAUGCGCAGAUAUCGGGAAGAACACCCGUGGCUAAGGCGGCUCUCUAGUACGGUACUGACGCUGAGACGCGAAAGCGUGGGGAGCGAACAGG